UACGUAGGUGGCAAGCGUUAUCCGGAAUUAUUGGGCGUAAAGCGCUCGCAGGCGGUUUCUUAAGUCUGAUGUGAAAGCCCACGGCUCAACCGUGGAGGGUCAUUGGAAACUGGGAGACUUGAGUGCAGAAGAGGAGAGUGGAAUUCCACGUGUAGCGGUGAAAUGCGUAGAGAUGUGGAGGAACACCAGUGGCGGAAGGCGAACUCUCUGG
rnacentral:rRNA from 1 species